rnacentral:tRNA from 1 species
GCCAAAGUGGCGGAAUGGCAGACGCGCUGGACUCAAAAUCCUGUGUCCUCACGGACGUGUGGGUUCGACUCCCACCUUUGGUA